rnacentral:tRNA from 1 species
AAAAAGAUAAGCUAACUAAGCUAUCGGGUUCAUACCCCGCCAAUAGGGGUUAAUCCCUCUUCUUUUUA